rnacentral:rRNA from 1 species
UACGUAGGGUGCGAGCGUUGUCCGGAAUUACUGGGCGUAAAGGGCGCGUAGGCGGCCCGGUAAGUCAAAGGUGAAAUCCCUCGGCUCAACUGAGGAACUGCCUUUGAAACUGUCGGGCUUGAGGCCGGGAGGGGGUAGCGGAAUUCCCAGUGUAGCGGUGAAAUGCGUAGAUAUUGGGAGGAACACCGGUGGCGAAGGCGGCUACCUGGACCGGUUCUGACGCUGAUGCGCGAAAGCGUGGGUAGCAAACAGG